AUUGAACGCUGGCGGCAUGCUUUACACAUGCAAGUCGAACGGCAGCAUAGGUGCUUGCACCUGAUGGCGAGUGGCGAACGGGUGAGUAAUAUAUCGGAACAUGUCCGGAAGUGGGGGAUAACGUAGCGAAAGUUACGCUAAUACCGCAUAUGCCCUGAGGGGGAAAGGAGGGGAUCGCAAGACCUUUCGCUUUCGGAGUGGCCGAUAUCGGAUUAGCUAGUAGGUGAGGGAAAGGCUCACCUAGGCGUCUAUCCGUAGCUGGUCUGAGAGGACGACCAGCCACACUGGGACUGAGACACGGCCCAGACGCCUACGGGAGGGAGCAGUGGGGGAUUUUGGACAAUGGGCGCAAGCCUGGUCCAGCCAUGCCGCGUGAGUGAAGAAGGCCUUCGGGUUGUAAAGCUCUUUCAGCAGGAAAGAAAUCAUGCUUACUAAUACUAAGUGUGGAUGACGGUACCAGCAGAAGAAGCACCGGCUAACUACGUGCCAGCCGCCGCCGUAA
rnacentral:rRNA from 1 species